CUUAACAGGUUGUUGCCAUGUGCCUUCUUCCUCAUUAUCAAAGAUGAUUUUGGACUUCAGAAAUGGCCCUUCCCUACCCCUUCUUCCCCAAAUCUGCUCUGUUGAUUGGAUCCUGCAGUGAAGUCAGACUGUUGGAUUGGUGACAUCACAAUCAUUUCCAUAGCAACAAACUGUGGUGUCGUCACAGGAUCAUCAUUCAUUGGAGGAUCUGGCAUGGGAAGGAGCCUAGUUCGAGGGAGACAUGCCCAGCCCAGGGCUUUGCUCUUUGGAUAAUCGUCUCUCUUGUCCCAUUUGCCCCAGUCUGAAGGUCUCAGUGUAGGGAUACAAAGACUGCAAGCCCUUCACAUGUCUCAGCUGUGCUGAGGCAGACCCUGCAGCUUAGGAUUCGUUGGAGAUGUGUUUCAGACACUGGCCUCACUUCUGACAGCUACUGGCCUAAUCCUGGUCCCGAGGAAGCCAAGGAGAGUUCUGUCGACAGUCUCCGAGGCAACAGGAUCUGUGGUUUCAAGUCGCCUGAAUCUGGAACAGGAUCCAAAGGCUGCACCUUCCUAACUGACGUAAAAGCUGGAGCAAAGUUCAUCAAAACAGAGUGUGGGGUUUGCAGGGUGGAAGGCAACAACAGAAACUGUGUCCAUUAUCUGUGACUGCCAAAGGACAGGGAAGCACACACAGUGCUGGCCUGAUAGGCUCUGCUCCUCCCUCCCCUCUCUGGGCCUCAGCCUGCCCUUCUGGAGAAUGGGGCUCUACCCAGGGAACAGCAGGUUUGCUCUCUAACGCUGUCCCUGCUGAUGCUGCUCAGAGCCAGACAAGCUUGCGAGGCUUGUUCAGAAUGGGUGUAGUUCUGAGCACAGCAGAGCAGGGCUCUCUUUGCCGGGAGGGGGAUUCCCCUUCCCUUGGCCAAAGGAAAGCACCUUGACCUAACCUGGCAAUUCACUGGCUGCAGUGCCCAAGUCCGCACUUCAUUGACAUUUUCCUCCAUCUAGAACACUCAGACACUGGCAGCAGCUGCCUCCUGCUCCCAGUGACUCCCACAUCCAGCCCCGGCUACAGCCACGGGGAGCAGGGCCUCUCCACUUUGCCCCUGAAAGCUACUGGAGAAUUCCGAUAUCAAAUGAAUCUUUACACCCACAAGUCAAGGAGAGCAAUUCACAGGCAGGGCCAGGUGGGAGGCUGGGUCGCCUUUUGCACCUUUCUCGCCUUUCUCAGCUGAGGCUGGAGCUGAAAUAGAAGUGUGGAAUAUGACAGGGAACCUGGAGUUGAUAGUGCUGGAAAGACAGGCCACUGGACCCAGUGGUCUCUUAUAGUGCUGCCCAUCACCAUAAUAUCUGGGCCUCUUCUGCAUAAAAUCCAUAGCAAUAGUUAUGUUCCUAAUUAACUUCAUAGAGUGUCUUACUCUUCUCCUUUCUCAGGGUAAAACCUCAGUUGGGGCAGGCUGGGGUUAGCUGGUGAAAGAGGUAUCUCUGGUGUGGGCCUCAGUCUUCUGCAGUCCUGGCCUCAGGCUGCAGAUAAAAUGCAGAGAUCAUAAAUAACAACAGUGCAGCACCGUGCAGCUGGCAGCAAAGGAGCUGGAACUGGCUUGUAACUUGGUCCAUCAUUUGCCCUGUCAUGUGGUAGCUGUAGUAAGUGCAGGUCCUGAUAAAGGCCCAGUAUGAGGCCUGAGGCCUGAACUAAAGUAAUGGACAAGACUUAGCUAAAAAGCAAAGUAAGGCUGUGAGCUGAAAGCCGGCUCAGUUCACAGAAGCUGGCAAGAAAAGGGCUGAUGUUGCAUAAACAUAUAUUCACCUAGCAUACCGAAGUAUAAACACAGCACCAGAAUACACUAUAAUGGAACAUUCCAUAGAUAAUAAAGGACAGGCCGACCCAUCCCAAUGACAGGGGCAAAAGGGUAAUAUGAUGGAUAGAGUUGUUUUGAUCGAACCAACAUGUACAAGGUGAGAGGUGGCACCUCAAUACCUAGAGGGGUUGCACCCCAAUACAGCAGGUGUGUUGUGUAACUUGUUUGUACCUGUGUAUAAGAAUGUAUCCCUGGGGCGGUGUCUUUGUCCAGCCGAGGGGGCAGUGGAAAGUCCCGCCACUGACUGAGCUGAGUCCAUUGUCAGGGAGCACAUUUGUACUGGCUAGCUGUAUCUUAGCAGCACCUUGGACUACGUUUGCCAGGGAGCUGGACACUGUGCUUUUCUUCGACAAUAAACCUGGCCGACGUGCCUUUGUACCUUA